AACCCCAGGGUGAGGGAGGCGCAGACUCCGCUGCCCCGGGGUCUGGGGGGCCCGGGGUGCGGGGCGGAGGCGCAAGCCAGUCGCCCUCGGAGGGGACGACGCCGUUGAGUGGCCCGGGCCGGGGCGCUGGCGGGGACAGCGAGAAGCGCACGUGAGCCCGGGGAUUAGAGCUGUGGUCGAGAGCGCGGUUCCGGCGUCAGGAGGGGGUCGAUGAAGGUCGAUUGUCGGAUCAGCGCUGGUUCUAGAAACAUCCCGCGGCGGAGCGCAGGGCGGAGCGGAGCCGGGAGGCCCAGGGAGGAAAUGGCUGAAGUCGUCCGGGCCCAGGUUUCCAUGUGAGGGCUGUGAACUAGAAGCCGGGACAAAAGGCCAGCAAGACACAAAGAUCAUGGCCCAGCAGACAGGCCAAUGAGACAGGAUGAGGUGAUCAGUCGUUCACAGGUGAUGCUAGGUUUCCUUUUUAAUGCUCCAUUGUGCCCUACUGAGGGAAACCGCUGUCUGAACAGGAAGACACGACAGAUGCCUAACCCGCUUCCCAGCUCCAUCCCCGUGUGUGUGUGUAGCCCAAGAACAGGGAGAUCAUCACUCUCACCUCUAACACGAAGGCUUCUACCUUGGAGGUACCAUUUCCCUCUUCAAGGGGGCAGGAACAGUCUUACAAGUCACUUACUAUGUAAGACCAUGAAAUGAAUGAUGCAGCUGUACAACCAAGGGCAGGACCUCCUGGUGGCGCAGUGGUUAAGAAUGCACCUGCCAACGCAGGGGACACGGGUUCGAGCCCCGAUCGGGAAGAUCCCACAUGCCGCGGAGCAACUAAGCCCCUGGGGCAGAACUACUGAGCCCGUAUGCCUAGAGCCCGUGCUCCACAACAAGAGAAGCCACCGCAAUGAGAAGGCCAAGCACCGCAACGAAGAAUAGCCCCCGCUUGCCGCAACUAGAGAAAGCCCACGCACAGCAACAAAGACCCAACGCAGCCAAAAAUAAAUAAAUAAAUAAAUAAAUUUUUUAAAAAUUGUUUAAAAAAA